UACAGAGGAGGCAAGCGUUGUUCGGAAUUACUGGGCGUAAAGGGCGCGUAGGCGGUUCUGUAAGUCCCGCGUGAAAUCCCCCGGCUCAACUGGGGAACUGCGCGGGAAACUGUGGGGCUAGAGUUCAGGAGAGGGAAGCGGAAUUCCGGGUGUAGCGGUGAAAUGCGUAGAUAUCCGGAGGAACACCGGUGGCGAAGGCGGCUUCCUGGACUGACACUGACGCUGAGGCGCGAAAGCUAGGGGAGCAAACGGG
rnacentral:rRNA from 1 species